UACGUAGGGGGCAAGCGUUAUCCGGAUUUACUGGGUGUAAAGGGAGCGUAGACGGCCAGACAAGUCUGAAGUGAAAAUCCAGCGCUUAACGUUGGAAGUGCUUUGGAAACUGCCGGGCAGGAGUGCAGGAGGAGCAGGCGGAAUUCCUAGUGUAGCGGUGAAAUGCGUAGAUAUUAGGAGGAACACCAGUGGCGAAGGCGGCCUGCUGGACUGCAACUGACGUUGAGGCUCGAAGGCGUGGGGAGCAAACAGG
rnacentral:rRNA from 1 species